rnacentral:rRNA from 1 species
UACGUAGGGGGCUAGCGUUGUCCGGAAUCAUUGGGCGUAAAGAGCGUGUAGGCGGCCCGGUAAGUCCGCUGUGAAAGUCGGGGGCUCAACCCUCGAAAGCCGGUGGAUACUGUCGGACUAGAGUGCGGAAGAGGAGAGUGGAAUUCCUGGUGUAGCGGUGAAAUGCGCAGAUAUCAGGAAGAACACCCGUGGCGAAGGCGGCUCUCUGGUACGUGACUGACGCUGAGACGCGAAAGCGUGGGGAGCAAACAGG